CUUGUUGCUUUACUUUGCCCAGUGUAUUAAAAACAGAAGAAUCUCUUCAUUCCACAAGUAUAGAAGCAUGAAAAUAGGGGGAAAAAAAAAAGAUAGCCAUCUGGCUUUACCUCUGAUUGCUUUAGCGUAACUACUAGAUGCAAGAUUGUAUUCCCAUUUUGAUUUCCUCUAGCGAACUCACCUUCCUUGGCCAUCGUCACCAAUAACGUCAAAGCCUCCAGAUGGUUAAAUUUUACACGCAAGUGGAAAACUGUAUCUCCAUCGAGC
rnacentral:misc_RNA from 1 species